rnacentral:rRNA from 1 species
ACGGAGGGUGCAAGCGUUAUCCGGAAUUACUGGGUUUAAAGGGUGCGUAGGCGGCAUGAUAAGUCAGAGGUGAAAGAGUGGAGCUUAACUCCAAAACUGCCUUUGAAACUAUCAAGCUUGAAUUACGUUGAGGUUAGCGGAAUGUGACAUGUAGCGGUGAAAUGCAUAGAUAUGUCAUAGAACACCAAUUGCGAAGGCAGCUAACUAGGCGUAUAUUGACGCUGAGGCACGAAAGCGUGGGGAGCGAACAGG